rnacentral:sRNA from 1 species
ACCUAGCCUUUCUAGCUUGUACAUGCUGUUACUUUGAAGCAUAAACUCAAUAUAACACCAGCUAGGUGGAUGUGCAGAUGGACGGGUCGUAAUCAUAUACAUGUUUACUUUGUAAUUUGUUUAUCAAUCAAGCUCCUGCAUUGUAAUAAGAUUGAAUAGAGAAGUGAAAUGUACAGAUGCUUUCCCGUAUUUCUGUAUAUGUUGUAAUUUGUAGAAGAGUAAAUCAACAAAAGAAGGUAUACUGUGGACAAUAUAUUAAGAUUCUUUCUC